AACGAACGCUGGCGGCAGGCUUAACACAUGCAAGUCGAACGAUGAAGGAGAGAGCUUGCUCUUUUUGGAUUAGUGGCGAACGGGUGAGUAACACGUGAGUAAUCUGCCCCGGACUCUGGGAUAAGCGUUGGAAACGACGUCUAAUACCGGAUAUGAAGCGUGGAGGCAUCUUCUGCGUUUGGAAAGAUUUUUUGGUUUGGGAUGAGCUCGCGGCCUAUCAGCUUGUUGGUGAGGUAAUGGCUUACCAAGGCGACGACGGGUAGCCGGCCUGAGAGGGUGACCGGCCACACUGGGACUGAGACACGGCCCAGACUCCUACGGGAGGCAGCAGUGGGGAAUAUUGCACAAUGGGCGCAAGCCUGAUGCAGCAACGCCGCGUGAGGGAUGACGGCCUUCGGGUUGUAAAGCUCUUUCGUCGAGUGCGCGAUCAUGACAGGACUCGAGGAAGAAGCCCCGGCUAACUCCGUGCCAGCAGCCGCGGUAAAAC
rnacentral:rRNA from 1 species